UACAGAGGGUGCGAGCGUUAAUCGGAAUUACUGGGCGUAAAGCGUGCGUAGACGGUUAUUUAAGUCGGGUGUGAAAGCCCCGGGCUCAACCUGGGAAUUGCAUUCGAGACUGAAUAGCUAGGGUACGGUAGAGGGAAGCGGAAUUUCCGGUGUAGCGGUGAAAUGCGUAGAUAUCGCUUGGAACGCCGAAGGUGAAAACAGGUUGCUGGGGAUGUGCCGACGCUGAGACACGAAAGCCAGGGGAGCAAACGGG
rnacentral:rRNA from 1 species